rnacentral:rRNA from 1 species
UACAGAGGGUGCGAGCGUUGUUCGGAAUUAUUGGGCGUAAAGGGCGCGUAGGCGGUGCGGUAAGUCACCUGUGAAAAUCUCCUGGCUUAACUGGGAGCUGCAGGCGAAACUACCGUGCUGGAGUGUGGGAGAGGUGCGUGGAAUUCCCGGUGUAGCGGUGAAAAUGCGCAGAUAUCAGGAGGAACACCGGUGGCGAAAGGCGGGCAUCCUGG